AUGCCUUAAACGUAUGAGUAAGGAAAAUAACGACCCGGGGUGACGCCCGGGUCCUCACUGCGAAUGUGAGAGGAAUUUUUGCGCGGGUACAGGUCGCCCCCAGGUGGCCCGCCUACUUCGCGGGAUGCCCGGGUGCUGCGAUCUGCCCG
rnacentral:snRNA from 1 species